rnacentral:rRNA from 1 species
ACUUAGUACGGCGAGUGAAGCGGUAAAAGCUCAAAUUUGAAAUCUGGUACUUUCAGUGCCCGAGUUGUAAUUUGUAGAAUUUGUCUUUGAUUAGGUCCUUGUCUAUGUUCCUUGGAACAGGACGUCAUAGAGGGUGAGAAUCCCGUUUGGCGAGGAUACCUUUUCUCUGUAAGACUUUUUCGAAGAGUCGAGUUGUUUGGGAAUGCAGCUCAAAGUGGGUGGUAAAUUCCAUCUAAAGCUAAAUAUUGGCGAGAGACCGAUAGCGAACAAGUACAGUGAUGGAAAGAUGAAAAGAACUUUGAAAAGAGAGUGAAAAAGUACGUGAAAUUGUUGAAAGGGAAGGGCAUUUGAUCAGACAUGGUGUUUUUUGCAUGCACUCGCCUCUCGUGGGCUUGGGCCUCUCAAAAAUUUCACUGGGCCAACAUCAGUUCUGGCAGCAGGAUAAAUCAUUAAGAAUGUAGCUACCUCGGUAGUGUUAUAGCUUAUUGGAAUACUGCUAGCUGGGAUUGAGGACUGCGCUUCGGCAAGGAUGUUGGCAUAAUGGUUAAAUGCGACCCG